AAUUCGGCCUGAUACUUCCACAUAUACCAUACUUAUUGAUGGUUUGUGUGAGGGUAAGAGAUUAAGUGAUGCGCAACAGAUUUUUCAGCUUCUUUUGGGUAAUGGUUAUCCUUUGAAUGUCCAAGCAUAUACUGCUAUGAUCAAAGGACUUUGUAAAGAGGGUUUAUAUGAUGAGGCAAAGGCCUUGCUCUAUAAAAUGAAAGAGAAUGGAUGCUUACCUGAUGCUAUAACUUUUGAAACACUUAUUAUACCUCUUUUGGAAAAAGGUGAGAAUGAUGAGGCAAAGAAUCUUGUCGACAAAUUAUUCAGCAAGGUCUCUUGAAAUGAUAAAAGAAGCAUCUAUCACCAAAAUGACGCCUAGAAUUCCUCUUCUCCCUAUAGUAAUUCCAUCAGAUCAGAGCACUAGACAUACCUCACUCUUGUAAUUCCUCUCCUCUCUCACCUUUGGUUGCUUAGUUUCAUCAUUUUUGCAAGCGCAUCCAAAAAGCUCUAUGCACCCUAGAAUUUUUCAGGUUCAUCACUAUUUAAGAGGCCUACUUAAGCACGAGAAUUUAUAAAUGCAAAAUUUGCUUGUUCCAGGUAUGGAACAGAAAGAGAGCAUGGCAAAUCAUUCAGUCGACCACAUGCCUGACAGAACAAGCAAGAUGCUGAAAAUUCAACUGGUCAAAGGUCUUGUUCUAAGACUGAUUGUAAAGCAAGCAAGCAUGUAAAAAGAAGGCUUGAUGGAAAAUGGGUAAUGCAUAGUUUUGUGAAGGAAUGUAAUCAUGAGCUUUUACCAGCUUAAGCUGUCGGUGAGCAAACAAGAAAAAUUUUUGCUGCAAUGGCUAGACAGUUCGCUGAAUACAAAACCGUGGUUGGUGUGAACUGGGGCCUGGAGUCAGGGGAUGCCAAGCUUCUUCCUGAUUUUUGGGUGCAGAUGCGCAGUAUGAAUUCAAACUUCUUUUGUGCAAUAGAUAUUGGUGAGGAUCAACGUCUGAAAAAUCUUUUGUGAUGUAGUCUUUUUUGACACCAUCUAUGUCAGAAACAAAUAUAAGUUAAGCUACCUCUUGCGCUUUUUGUUGGAGUAAAUAUGCGCUAUCAAUUUAUACUGCUUGGGUGUGGCUUAAUAUCAGGUGAAAGUUGUAACAUAAUAAAGAAUAUCUGUUAUUUAUAUGGAUCUUGUUCAUAAAUGGUAAAAGGGUUUAGUGUUAAAGAUCUUGUAGAGGUGUUUGGUUGGUUGGUUGUAUUGUAGUUCUGAUUCUCUGGGCUACAUGUUUAGUUUUAAUCAGGGUGUUGUAUUUUGCCAUAAAAAUUUUCGAAUGUUCUUCAUUUUCCAUUAGUUCAUACUUAAUAUAUCAUCAGUCUUUUGCUUCUUUCCUCCUAUAUGAAAGGAGAAAUUUCUACAUGUACUCCUUGAAAUUAAGAUAACUAGUCAAAAUUUGUGCAUUAGGGGAUGCCAUUAUGCUUUCUGAUUGGAGUUUCCUUUAGUUCCUUGCUCAUAUUUUCCUGGCACUGAUGAUGACAUGCCAUUGUAGAGAAGAAAUGUAUGAAGGACAAAAAUCAAGAAGCAUCUAAUCCAUGAGCAUGAAGUGACAGUUCUAAGAAGAUGAGUGGUCAUUAAGAAACAAAAGCUGUAACUUCAGGUAAGCUUUAGUAUUGAUGGUUUUGGUAGUAACAAGCCUAAAGCACUCUAGUAACUUAAAGGAGCAUGCCUUUAAAAAAAUUUGUCAAACUUAUAGCGGCAUAAUUGAUAAUUCAUAACUCCAAUAUCAGUAAGCCUUAUGUUGAUCAUAUAUAUUAUAUAAUGCUAUUAUACUUUAUGAAUUACAACUCUAUAGAGAUAAUUAAUUAGCUGUAUGGGCUUUACUUAUCUUUAUAAGUUUAAGGAUCAUAUGCUUGACUAUCCUAAAUAACACCUUUGGCAUCCUUCUUGUGUUUUUCCUUUUAUAUGGGUAUUUGCUUAGGUUAGAUUCGAGCAAAGUUAGGCCCAAUUUGGGUAACUUUUCCAAAGACCUUUUUUGCCUUCACAUAGACUCGGACUCGAACUCAAGAACUCGUGCUUAAACAGCU